rnacentral:lncRNA from 1 species
AUUUCCCCCUCCUCCCAGCCUCUCUUAACCACGUUCUACUCUUUUUUUCUUCAUUCUUCCUUUUGCCUUUUUGUGCCUUUCUCCCUUUUCCUUUAUCUCUCCUUUUUCUUCCCCUCCCUCUUUCCGUCUUUCUCUUCUUAAAAGCCUGAUGGCCCCGAUUCACCCUUGCCAGCCCUCCACAGCCUCUGCCAGGGGCUGGGCCAGAGGCCUGUCAGCCAGGGCUGUGAGCGCGGGUAGGUGUCUUGGAUAAUUCAUUCACGGAGGAUCACUUAGUCCAACUUGAUGAAGCCUGUAUCCUUCAAGUACUGACAGAAACUGGCAGCACAUACUGAGGCCAUAUUUCCGGAUCAGACAGGGCCAGUUUGAGCAGAUGCAGCAAGAGAAGAAGUCUGGCUAAGUUUUUGUGGGUGUCUCCAGUAGAGCUGCUGGUGACCCGUCUUGCU